rnacentral:rRNA from 1 species
CCAGCAGCUGCGGUAAUUCCAGCUCCAAUAGCGUAUACUAAAGUUGUUGCAGUUAAAAAGCUCGUAGUCGAAUGAUGAUUCUUCUGUCUGCGCGGACACUUAGGUGUAACUUAAGAUCGUCUGUGCACAAGAAUCACCUUGGUGUGGUACGAAUUUAGCAGAAAUAUUCUACUAAUGUUCACCACACACAUUACUGUGAACAAAAUAGAGUGUUCAUGGCAGGCCAUUAAGGCUUGAAUACCUCAGCAUGGAAUAAUAGAAUAGGACUUCCGGUUCUAUUUUGUUGGUUUUUGGAGCCGAAGUAAUGAUUAAUAGGGAUAGUUGGGGGCACUCGUACUCCGUUGUCAGAGGUGAAAUUCUAGGAUUGACGGAAGACGAACAACUGCGAAAGCAUCUGCCAAGGAUGUUUUCAUUGAUCAAGAACGAAAGU